CAAUUGGCUCACCACCAACCAAUCAGAAGAAGGCCCAGGAGCUGACCACACCCACUCCUUGAACACUUGCAAGACUUCUCACUACCGCCUCCAGGGUAGGGUGCACAGUGUAGAGGGCACUGACCUGAUCUGGUUCCCUGAGUCUGGCAGAGAAAUGAAGCUAUUCAUUUUUACUUCACCCAAAGCUCUGACUCCAUGAUUCAGUUCCAUGCGGGUGUGCAAAGGCCGAGUUUAAGCCACACUCUGGAGCAGGAAUUCCACAGGUCUGAGUCGGAGUCAUGAGAACUUGAUGCACCCUUUCUGGCUUGGGGGUGAAGGAGGCUUUGCAGCAAGGGACGCUGGUGGAAUGUCGGACGGAGGAGCAGCCCCAGCCGACAGUCAGAAAGGAAACCAGAGACCACAGUCUUGAAACUGUAAAAACCUGAAGUUUUCUUGGAAUAUAAAUGCUUUGAAAUUAAACAAUGGAAGCUGACUUCUCCCAGAACCUCCGGAAGAACUCAGCCCGAGAGGACCCCACUGAGUCAGAUGUGUGUUAACCCUGAGAAGACCAGCCAUGGGGUACCAGGCUUUUGACCCACAGAAAUGGUGAGGUCAUUUUUAUUCUCUGCAUUCACAGAAAAUUCUUCAAACCUCAUCACAGUAUUAAUCCUAAACUAGGCAUCUCAUGAUCUUGGAAGUUCCCUUUGAGUUACAUGGAGUCGUACUCUAUCUGGGUCUUCUCAUAGCUUCCUGAAACUGUGGCGAGCACAAAAUGAGUAAAAGGCAGAUAUUUAUUAAUCUGCUCAAACUGCCCUCAGAAAAGACUACAGACUGGGCCACUUAACACAAAGUUACUUCUCGAAUUUUUGGAGGCUGUGAAGUUAAAGAGGGUACCAGUUCUAUUGGAUCAAAGGUCACCUUUAUGAUUUCAUUGAGCCGUAAACGCCCCUUUAAAGACCUUACCUCAUGCGUUCAGAUUGGGGGGGGGUGUGGGUGUGGGUGUGUGGAAGGGGGUUACAGCUUCAUAUCUGAAUUUGAGGAGACCCAGUUCAAUUCAUAGCAGGGAGACCAUGCCAAAAAUAAUAAUUCACCUCUAUAACAAUUUACCUUUAAAAGCCAGUCUUUGUCUUUUUAACCAUUCAUCUGGACCAAGAGUGAUUCACCACUUUCUUAGAAAUGGUAAGGCUACUAUGAAGACUAUCCUCCCAAAAGAGGGCUUGUGAUGUAAAUCAUGGGUUUUGUGUAAUUUCUAACUCUGCUCCAGCAAGAAAACAAUCAUGAAAGAGAAGACCCAGGAUAUUAAGUAAUUAAUCAAACACCACAAGAAUGUAUAGGGAUGAAAUUAAGAAUCACAACAGAAUCUUUCUGAGAUUUUUUUUUUUGCCAUGUGAGGAUAAUUACAUAGAUUAACCUCUACAGAGAAGGAUUUUCGUUUUCUCAAUCUAUACUCUCUCCCCAAGAGAUUUCUUAAAAGCUAUUAUCUGUUGAGUAUAAUGACUGGAUUGGACUGGACACUUGCCAUAGUAUUGGUUGCUCAUUGUCUGGAACCCAUUCCUAUAAGUGAGGAAUUUUCCACUGAAUGAGAUUUAUUUGGACUCUGCAAGCUGCAAAGAUGCACUUUUCCAGCUCAAGCAUAUAUUCUAGGUUGGAUAAUAAAAAUGCACUGGAUAAUAAGAUGCAUGUGUUUGGCAAUUUAAAUCUCUGAGGAGAAAGACAAAUCGUCACAGGCAUGCAGUCAGGGAUUCCUUUUUAUGACAGCAGCAGGCUCGGCUGCAGCUCCUCCCCUGUAGUCCACCAGCAGUAGCGGUGCUGGUGACGCCUUCAGCAAUAUCCAAUAUCCUGUGGCACAGGUGGGUGGGAGCAGAAUGAGACGGGGGGUAGGAGCAUUCUCACUCACUGGGCUCUGGGGUGUGAUUUUUGCUUUGAGUUGGCCACUUUGCAUGUCUUGCUCUUAAGUGUUUUCUGAGCCUGGUUCAAUGGACCUAUCAGAGAAUCCUUGAGUUAAUACACAUCCUUCCAAUACAACCACCCUUCUGCUUAAAGGAUCCAAGGUGGUUUCUCUUGCCUAUUAAUAGGAAACCUAUUUGCAAAUAACUGCAGCAUAUGUCCUAUCAGUCCAGACUCCUCCUCUGGGCUCCUGGGCUAGAGGGUACAACUCACCAUGCAAUAUCUCUCAUCGGAAAAAUGUCACAAACCCUCCAAAUCAAUAAAUUCAACCCUGAACUUCACGUCUUUUUCCUCGGACCCGACUCCCUGUCCAGGACCCUCAGUCUCGAUGAAUGGUACCGCAUCCAUCCAACGGGGUACGUCAUUCCUGGACUAUCUGCUUACUCAUGCUCCAUAGCCCAUCAGCAGCAAGUACAUAUCACACCAUAAAUACCCCAACUCUGAUCCAUUCUCUCUGACUGUAUCCCCACCACCCUUGCCCAAACCAUUCUCAGCUCUCAUGUGAAUCCUUGAAAGCAACACCUGCCUGCCUCUAAGCCGAAUUCUCUACAACCGACCCAGAAACACAUUUUCAAAUGUCAUAUGCAUGGACUGUGUCACCCCCCAGGUAUAAUUAUUGGCCCUUAGAAUGGUUUUCACUGUUAGGGUCAAUUCACAGUUCCCCCGUUUGGCGUAUGUCACAUGAGCUGACCCCAGCCAGAUUCUCCAGCUCCUGGUUGUACAAAACUCUUCCUUACCCGCUUGAACCAAGACAUGGCUUUAUUUGCUCUCUUCUGUCUGUCAUGCUCCCACCUGCGUCAUGCCCGUUACACUGGCUAUUCAUCUGCGUGGAAUAAGAUCCCUUUUCAUCUAAACUUGCUUGAUUUUUACUCUAUUGUCAUA